rnacentral:rRNA from 1 species
AUUGAACGCUGGCGGCAGGACUAACACAGGCAAGGAGAGAGGAGCGGCGGACGGGUGGGUAAUGGCUAGGAAGCUGCCUGGGAGUGGGGGAUAACGUCCGGAAACGGGGGAUAAUACCGCAUGCUACCAGAUGAGGCUAGGGCGGAUUAGCUGGUUGGUGGGGGAAGGGCCUACCAAGGCGACGAUCCUUAACUGGUCUGUGAGGAUGAUCAGGAAAAUUGGAACUGAGACCCGGUCCAGACUCCUACGGGAGGCAGCAGUGGGGAAUAUUGGCCAAUGGGCGAAAGCCUGGUCCAGCCAUGCCGCGUGUGUGAAGAAGGUCUUCGGAUUGUCAAGCACUUUAAGUUGGGAGGCGUUACCAACAGAAUAAGCACCGGCUAACUUCGUGCCAGCAGCCGCGGUAAUUC